GAGAGCCGGAUGCGAUCGAAAGACGCACGUCCGGUUCGGGAACCAGCUUCGGGGAGCUACCCACCUAGCCAGUGGGGUGUGACCCGAC
rnacentral:ncRNA from 1 species